ACAAUAUAAAGAAAUAACACAAGUGAAUGAAGUUGCAUUGAAGCAAAUUGAAUUUGCUCAUGAAAAAUUCAAGGCUGAGGCUGAUAAGCUAAAGAAGUCACUGGAGGAUGAAAUUCAUUUUCUCAAGGGAAGGGUUUCAAAACUUGAGAGUGAUCUUGUGUCAAAGUCCAUAAAAGUUACAUCUGUAGUUUUAGGGAAAGAAGAAGCUCUAUCUUCUGCAUUUACUGAAAUUGACCAUCUAAAGGAAGAAAAUUUUGUAAAAACAUGAGCAUUAUUGCAUUAUAUGGAGGGUAUUUACUGUAUUGGAGUGUAUUUGUUUCUUGCACAUGAGGGCACGCCUUAGUUGUAAUUCUUAUGAUAGGUUAAGCAAAGUGAAGUAUUAUUUAUUUAGAAA